AAAUAUAAAAAGGACAUUGCAGCUUUAAGACAACAUACUGACAUCAUAACAGAAUCGAAAGAUAAUAAGUCAGGAAUAGAGAGAAGAGUAUGGAAUUGAAAUGCGACUCUCGGCAGUGAGCAGAUACUGCAAAUGCUACGGAAAUGGUUACAAAGACCCGCCAUGUGGAUCGAAAUAGACAAUGGAACGUACGAGUAAUCGUAGUUGAUCUGCUUCCUCUGUAUCAAAUAAGUUUACGACCUGCUUGAUUGGCGUUGGUCGAGCCGGAAAUCAUAUUGACCAAACGUCUAUAAAUGCUGCCCGCGGCAACAAAGAAAGCAUAAUUAUUGCCGAAAUUUGCAACUGGAUAUAUG